GUGGGGAAUAUUGGACAAUGGGCGAAAGCCUGAUCCAGCCAUGCCGCGUGUGUGAAGAAGGUCUUCGGAUUGUAAAGCACUUUAAGUUGGGAGGAAGGGCAGUAAGUUAAUACCUUGCUGUUUUGACGUUACCGACAGAAUAAGCACCGGCUAACUUCGUGCCAGCAGCCGCGGUAAUACGAAGGGUGCAAGCGUUAAUCGGAAUUACUGGGCGUAAAGCGCGCGUAGGUGGUUUUGUAAGUUGGAGGUGAAAUCCACGGGCUCAACCUGGGAACUGCAUCCAAAACUGCAUGACUAGAGUACGGUAGAGGGUAGUGGAAUUUCCUGUGUAGCGGUGAAAUGCGUAGAUAUAGGAAGGAACACCAGUGGCGAAGGCGACUACCUGGACUGAUACUGACACUGAGGUGCGAAAGCGUGGGGAGCAAACAGGAUUAGAAACCCUAGUAGUCC
rnacentral:rRNA from 1 species